rnacentral:rRNA from 1 species
UACGUAGGGUGCGAGCGUUGUCCGGAUUUAUUGGGCGUAAAGAGCUCGUAGGCGGUUUGGUGAGUCGGGUGUGAAAUCUCCACGCUCAACGUGGAGGAGCCACCCGAUACUGCCAUGACUAGAGUCCGGUAGGGGAGUGUGGAAUUCCCGGUGUAGCGGUGAAAUGCGCAGAUAUCAGGAGGAACACCAAUGGCGAAGGCAGCACUCUGGGACGUGACUGACGCUGAGACGCGAAAGCGUGGGGAGCAAACAGG